rnacentral:rRNA from 1 species
GCAAGUCGAGCGAGAAAGCCCUUCGGGGUGAGUAAAGCGGCGGACGGGUGAGUAACGCGUAGGAAUCUACCUGGUAGUGGGGGACAACAUGUGGAAACGCAUGCUAAUACCGCAUACGCCCUAUGGGGGAAAGCGGGGGAUCUUCGGACCUCGCGCUAUCAGAUGAGCCUGCGUAGGAUUAGCUUGUUGGUGAGGUAAAGGCUCACCAAGGCGACGAUCAGUAGGGGGUUUGAGAGGAUGAUC